GACGAACGCUGGCGGCGUGCUUAACACAUGCAAGUCGUACGAUGACCCGGCUCUUCGGAGCUGGUGAUUAGUGGCGAACGGGUGAGUAACACGUGGGUGACCUGCCCUGCACUCUGGGAUAAGCCCGGGAAACUGGGUCUAAUACUGGAUACGACCAGUGGCCGCAUGGUCUGCUGGUGGAAAGCCCUUCGGGGUGGUGUGGGAUGGGCCCGCGGCCUAUCAGCUUGUUGGUGGGGUGAUGGCCUACCAAGGCGACGACGGGUAGCCGGCCUGAGAGGGUGUCCGGCCACACUGGGACUGAGACACGGCCCAGACUCCUACGGGAGGAAGCAGUGGGGAAGCUUGCACAAUGGGCGAAAGCCUGAUGCAGCGACGCCGCGUGAGGGAUGACGGCCUUCGGGUUGUAAACCUCUUUCGGCAGGGAACAAGCCUGGGGGUUUUCUUCUGGGUGAGGGUACCUGCGGAAGAAGCACCGGCUAACUACGUG
rnacentral:rRNA from 1 species